AAUAGGAAAAAUUGAGGAUAAAAUGCAAGCCCAAUUAGAAGAUCUAAAAUGUUUCUUACAGGAUCAAUGGGCAAACACCCACUCUACCAGAAACAGACCUGUUUCUGAACCUUUGAAUGAGGAAAUUUCCUUCCCUGAAAUAGAGAUGGAAAACACCUUCCCUAUAGCCCAGUUAACAGACUGCUUCUCUCGUGCAGUGCAAAUCUUGUCUGAAUUUAAUCCCCAAAACCCUUCCCCUGCAAUCCCAGCUUCUCAUGUUCCUUCUCCUACAGAAAACCAAAUUCCAAUGCAAGGGAGAUCUUGUCCUCCUAGAGAAACCUGUCCUUGUCAAACUGACCCACAGGUGCAAAAUACAACUAGAGGCCUGUUUCCUCUAAGAGAAGUACCUGAAAUAGGACGAACUGGGGAUGUGGUGACUUUAAGACAUAGGAUACCGUUUACUCCCCAAGAAAUAAAUGAAUUUACACGAAAUAUUCCCACAUAUGAACAAGAUCUUUUUCUAGUAACAAAAAAGAUGGGAGACAUAUUUUUUCAGUAUAAUCCGUCUUACAAGGACGUUGAGAGCUUACUCCAGGCUUUUUUAAGUGAACGUGAAAAAAAUAAAAUAAUUGCUCAUGUCAACAAAACCAGGGGGCGUAAUGCAGCACAUUGGCCAUCUCAGGAUCCCGAAUGGGACUAUAACAAUCCUGAGGAUUAUCUACAACUAUACCGUUGUAGAGAGGCCAUCCUCACGUCCAUGAAGGAAUGUGCGGACAGUACAGAUAAGUGGAUGGAACUGGAAAAAAUUAAGCAAAAGGAAAAUGAAACACCCUCCAGAUUUAUGGACAGAAUUAUCGAGUUUGGGGACAGAUACUUAGAUUGGGACUUAACUAAAGAGAGUAGUAUAAGACAAGUUAGAAGAAUCUUUGUAAACAAUUCUUGUAAAGCAAUUAAAAAUUAUUUCAAAACACAAUGCCCAAGAUGGUCAGAUAUGGACCUUGAAGAAUUGCGAAAAACAGCUAUAUAUGUUUUAAAGGGAAACGAAGAAAAGGAGAAAGAAAAUGAUGAUGACAUGGAGGAAAUGAAGAAAAAAAUGAGAUAUUUAAUAGAUAGGAUAACUAAAUUAGAAAGUGGGCAGGGUAAUGAACCAAUGACAAUUGCCCCUCUCCAGAAAUCCAAUUAUCAAUCCAUUACUUGCCACUUCUGUGAGAAGAAGGGCCACAAAAUGAUGGAAUGUAGAACCUUUCUUAAGAUGUUUGGAAGGAAUACACAGUUUAAUAAUAGUUUUAGAAAUAAUAACUAUAAUGAAUAUAGAAAUAAGAACUUUAGAAACCAGAAUUAUAGAAAUAGGAAUUGGGAAAUUAAUGACAAUGCUCAAAUUGAAGAAAAUUUUAAUGAUAAUACUCAACAAUAUAUGAGAAAUGGUGCUCGUCCAAAAAUUACUCGAGGUACUAAUGACUCUCAGAGAGGUGCCCUUCAGGGGGGUGCCCAAGGAAUAUCCCAAACACAAUGAUGGUGCCCGAGGGGGGCUAGGGCACAGGAAUCAGAGGAUACAACCUUUGAUUUCCCGGACCCUGAUGUCCUACUACCCGUUGUCCCUAUCCACUGCCCUCCCCAUACUAAUGAACCCCAUGUUACCUUAAAGGUGGGUAACACCUAUUAUGAUUGUCUAUUAGACACCGGAGCUUCCUGGUCUGUAUUGAAGAGAAAACCUGAUUUACAAUGUUAUUCUAUUGGCUCAGAGAAUGUAAUGUGAGUAUCAGGCAUAACCCUCAAGAG
rnacentral:lncRNA from 1 species